rnacentral:pre_miRNA from 1 species
UACCCGACUUCCGGAUACCAAAUGUCAUAUCCAACUCGUUUCGUCAAUUGGUAUCCUUAGUCGUGGUCU